ACGAACGCUGGCGGCGUGCUUAACACAUGCAAGUCGAGCGGUAAGGCCUUUCGGGGUACACGAGCGGCGAACGGGUGAGUAACACGUGGGUGACCUGCCCUCCACUCUGGGAUAAGCCUGGGAAACUGGGUCUAAUACCGGAUAUGACGCAUUCCUGCAUGGGGUUGCGUGGAAAGUUUUUUCGGUGGGGGAUGGGCCCGCGGCCUAUCAGCUUGUUGGUGGGGUGAUGGCCCACCAAGGCGACGACGGGUAGCCGGCCUGAGAGGGCGACCGGCCACACUGGGACUGAGACACGGCCCAGACUCCUACGGGAGGCAGCAGUGGGGAAUAUUGCGCAAUGGGCGGAAGCCUGACGCAGCGACGCCGCGUGGGGGAUGACGGCCUUCGGGUUGUAAACCUCUUUCGCCAGGGACGAAGCGUGAGUGACGGUACCUGGAUAAGAAGCACCGGCCAACUACGU
rnacentral:rRNA from 1 species